CCCUCAGAAAUGGUGGGGGAAAAGGUAUGUUUUCAUGGGGAUAAUUUGUUACACAGCAACAACGAAUACACAUGCUAAACUAGACUUCUAGCAUCUUAUCAGGGUGAGGAAUGCCCUAAACUAACACCUCUUGAAAAUUCUGUUUAUCUGGGGUGCCUGACUGGCUCCGUCAUAGAACAUGUGACUCUUGAUCUUAGGGUUGUGAGUUUGAGUCCCAUGUUGGGUAUAGAGAUUAAAAAUAAAAUCUUAAAAAAAUUGUUGAGCUGGUUUGCUACCAAGCAACGGUUGUGACGUCAUCAGGAUUAGAACUCUAACUUAGUGGGAUCUUUCCAACCACUUGACAGAAGUCCCAAAGAAAAGGGGACUUUUCAGGGACUUCUGCCGCUACCAGCUGUGAUUUUAAACACAGUAUUUAACCUGUGCCCCAGUUCCUUUGUCAAGAAGAUUCUGCUACCAGCUAACUUUCUGGGAUAGCGGUGAGAAGAUUUUCUGACGGUUACAGCUUCUUUUCAACGGUUAACUGAGGUGUGCUGCACACACAUCUUCCAACACCCUGCUCUUGGUCCACAAGCCGUUCCCUCUACAAGAAGAGCCAACCUGACCCCUAGCCAACACGCCUGGGGUCCCAGCCCUCCCCCCCGGGGCCGGGAGCUACUUCCUACCACCGCCCGCCCAGGGCCAGCCCGCCAGCCCGCCAGCCCGCCAGCCCGCCAGCCCGCCAGCCCAGCG